UACGGAGGGUGCGAGCGUUGUCCGGAAUCAUUGGGCGUAAAGGGCGCGUAGGUGGCCCGGUAAGCGUGCGGUGAAAGCUUGGGGCUCAACCCCGAGUCGGCCGUGCGAACUGCUGGGCUUGAGCACUGUAGAGGCAGGCGGAAUUCCGGGUGUAGCGGUGGAAUGCGUAGAGAUCCGGAAGAACACCGGUGGCGAAGGCGGCCUGCUGGGCAGUAGCUGACACUGAGGCGCGACAGCGUGGGGAGCAAACAGG
rnacentral:rRNA from 1 species